UACGUAGGGUGCGAGCGUUGUCCGGAAUUAUUGGGCGUAAAGAGCUCGUAGGCGGUUUGUCGCGUCUGCUGUGAAAAUCCAGGGCUUAACCCUGGACCUGCAGUGGGUACGGGCAGACUAGAGUGCGGUAGGGGGGAUCGGAAUUCCUGGUGUAGCGGUGAAAUGCGCAGAUAUCAGGAGGAACACCGGUGGCGAAGGCGGGUCUCUGGGCAACAACUGACGCUGAGGAGCGAAAGCGUGGGGAGCGAACAGG
rnacentral:rRNA from 1 species